rnacentral:lncRNA from 1 species
AUUUUGAUCUUGAACUUGAAAGGAAUCUGAGGCGGCACUUGCAAUAAGCUAGACUUUACAAGGCUAGUGAAAAUUUGAGUGAGACUUUUGAAAAGGAAGCUGCAGAGUCCACUAUGGAUCAUAGUUGUGUUGUUAAUGCCAAUGUGGCAAAUCUGAAUGAGAAUGAACAACCUAGAAGACUACUUGGCUCAUACACUGCCCCCAAUGCAGAUCUUUAUGGAAAAAGUAUU